rnacentral:misc_RNA from 1 species
CCUAAUUCGUGGGAAGAUACAAUGAAAGAUGAACUGGAUCGUGGAAAAUAUCCUCGAAUGCCUUGGCAUGAUGUCCAUUGUGCCCUAUGGGGACCACCAUGUCGUGAUGUACUAGGCAUUUUGUUCAGCGUUGGAACUAUGCAAAGAGAAAUAAAGCUCCGUAUGAGGAAGCAAUUCCACUACUUAUUCCUCAGCAGCACAUGGUUAUUCCACACUAUAGGGGAAGA